UGUUUCAUGGUGUAAUGGUUAACACUCUGGACUCUUAAUCCAGGAAACAUACUUAUAUAUGUCAUACAUUUAAAUUUUGUGAUACAC
rnacentral:tRNA from 1 species